rnacentral:rRNA from 1 species
UGGGGAAUUUUGGACAAUGGGCGAAAGCCUGAUCCAGCAAUGCCGCGUGCAGGAUGAAGGCCUUCGGGUUGUAAACUGCUUUUGUACGGAACGAAAAAGCUUCUCCUAAUACGAGAGGCCCAUGACGGUACCGUAAGAAUAAGCACCGGCUAACUACGUGCCAGCAGCCGCGGUAAUACGUAGGGUGCAAGCGUUAAUCGGAAUUACUGGGCGUAAAGCGUGCGCAGGCGGUUAUGUAAGACAGAUGUGAAAUCCCCGGGCUCAACCUGGGAACUGCAUUUGUGACUGCAUGGCUAGAGUACGGUAGAGGGGGAUGGAAUUCCACGUGUAGCAGUGAAAUGCGUAGAUAUGCGGAGGAACACCGAUGGCGAAGGCAAUCCCCUGGACCUGUACUGACGCUCAUGCACGAAAGCGUGGGGAGCAAACA